rnacentral:rRNA from 1 species
GAUGAACGCUGGCGGCGUGCCUAACACAUGCAAGUCGAGCGAAAAGACGCGGAGUUUGUUCCGUUCUCGUUAGGGGCGGAGGGGUGAGUAACGCGUGUAAAACCCCCUUAUAUUUCGGGUAACAUUUCGGGAAACGGGCUCUAAUACCGGAUAAUAUCUUGCUCCGCAUGGUUGAUUGGUAAAAGACGGUUUUUCUGUCUCUUAUAGAUGGUUCCGCGCCGCAUUAGGUGGUUGGUACGGUACCGGCUUUCCAAGGCGAGGCUGCGUAGCCGACCUGAGGGGGUGAUCGGCCGCACUGGGACUGAGACAGGGUCCAGACGCCUACGGGAGGCAGCAGUAGGGAAUCGUCCGCAAUGGGCGAGAACCUGACGGAGCAACGCCGCGUGAGUGAUGAGGGUCGUCGGGUCGGAAAACUCUGUUAUUAGGGAAGAACCAAUGUGUGAGUAACUAGGCACGUCUUGACGGUACCUAAGUAGAAAGCCACGGCUAACUACGUG